CUGGGAAGUGCCAGCGGUGGACUACCGUGUUCACGAGAACGUUGGGCUUUUCGGACCCUGAUUACAUAAUGCCCUGCGGUGUGUGUGGAUGGUGAAGCUCCGUCUGAGCAGCGAUUUAUUUAAUGUCCGCGUCCGGAUGCAGCUGCCACUGCUAACGCCGCCGGCGACUAAAAACAAACAACCCGGCAAGAAGCGUGCUAUUCGGCCUACCACUUCUGGUCCGGCCAAGCGUGCGAGGAAGAAUGCCGAUCAUCCCGGUCCCCGGUAUCCUCAACCAUCUUACCCACAAGUCCUCAACACUGAUAUCUUCCAGGUUCUACAAACCCUCGCAGAAUCCGUGAAAAGCCUCGGAGCAAGGAAGGACGAUGUCGAGACACCGAUC
ensembl:lncRNA